GACAGAGGGUGCAACCGUUGUUCGGAAUUACUGGGCGUAAAGCGCGUGUAGGCUGCAUCGCAAGUCGGAUGUGAAAGCCCUGGGCUCAACCCCGGAACUGCACCCGAUACUGCCUCGCUCGAGUCCCGGAGAGGAUGGCGGAAUUUCCGGUGUAGAGGUGAAAUUCGUAGAUAUCGGAAGGAACACCAGCGGCGAAGGCGGCCAUCUGGACGGUGACUGACGCUCAGACGCGAAAGCGUGGGGAGCAAACGGG
rnacentral:rRNA from 1 species